GUGUUUGCUUCAGCAGCACAUAUAUUAAAAUUAACAAUACAGAGAAGAUUAGCAUGGCCUCUGUACAAGGAUGGUAUGAAAUUUGUGAUGAGUUUU
ensembl:snRNA U6 U6 spliceosomal RNA